rnacentral:tRNA from 1 species
GAAACCCUAUUUUAAUUGAAAAUGACACCUUUGCAAGGUGAUUGAUAAAGCCAAUUGGCUUUGGGUUUUG